UCACAUGCGACAUCGGGAUAGGGAGAUAUGGACGUUUUAAGACAUAAAGGUCCCAACCCGUUUUCAAGUUGGGUCAAACCCAUUUCCCCUUGGUAUAUAAGGGAAAUAUAACCCUAGCAGCCCAUUUUUUUCUCCAAAUUCAGAUUUUAGAGAGAGGAAGUGAGAGAGAGGGGAAAUUAGAGAGAGAAAGUAGAAAAUCAACCAAGUUUAAGGCCCCGAAUCCCAAAGCUCGUGAAGGAUAAAUUGUAGUACAAGUUGUUGUCGUCAUUUUGAGCUAAAGAUCGGACUUGGGGGUGUUGAUUUCGUGAUUACUACUCUUGAAAGGUAAUGUUUCUACUCCCUAAUCAUUUAUGGUUGUGAAUUGAUGAAUUCUUGGGAGAAUAAUAAUUGGGUUUGAUGAAGAGAAUUAUAUGAACUAUGUUAGAGUUGUUGGAUUGUUGACUUGGGAUAGUUGUAUUCAUAUGGUUGAUGAAGAAUGAUGUUAAUUACAUCUAAUUGAUAUUUUAGAAUUAGCUAGAAGUAAUAGAAUGGGGAUUGGGUGAAGAAAACACCAUUAAUGAGGGUUAUAGAGCUUCAUGCCCACUAAGUGUUUGAUAAAAUGCUUAGAUGAACAAAACAUGGAUAUUGUUGCUAAUAUAGAAUCCCUAUGGCUUGUAUUGCUAUAGAUUGAAGUUGAAGGGAUUGAAGGACAUUAUGAUACGCUCAAAAGCGGGAAGUUAAGGUACGGAUUUACAGGACGACGCUUCUGAUCAUUAGGAUUUGCUCGUAUCAGCUUAUUGGUGAGCCCCAUCUCAUUCGGGGUUUAGUCAACUUUUACUUUAUGAUUAAUUAUGCAUCUAAAGGUAUGCUGGGGGCCUUGUCCCAGUGAGUAUGUUUUUCCAGUCAGACUCAUGGUAGAGGUUUCAUAGACUAGACAAGUCAGUUGUGUUAUGUCAGACAUUUGGAGUCGUAUAGCCAUUUUGGCUCACUUAUGCUUAAACAAGUAUUUUAUUAAGUAUUA